rnacentral:misc_RNA from 1 species
GAUGAAGAACGUAGCGAAAUGCGAUACUUGGUGUGAAUUGCAGAAUCCCGUGAACCAUCGAGUCUUUGAACGCAAGUUGCGCCCGAAGCCAUUAGGCCGAGGGCACGCCUGCCUGGGCGUCACACGUCGUUGCCCCCCCAUCUACUCCUUCGGGAUUGCGGGGGGCGGAUGAUGGCCUCUCGUGCGCCUCGUCGCGCGGUUGGCCUAAAUGCCAAGUCCUCGGCGACGCACGCCACGACAAUCGGUGGUUGCGAAACCUCGGUUGCCUGUCGUGUGCGGUCGUCGCGCAUCGAGGGCUCGAAAAAAUUGCCGGGCUUCGGCUCGACUUUCAACGCGACCCCAGGUCAGGCGGGGUUACCCGCUGAAUUUAAGCAUAUCAAUAAGCGGAGGA